AUUGAACGCUGGCGGCAGGCUUAACACAUGCAAGUCGAGCGGAGACUUCGGUCUUAGCGGCGAACGGGUGAGUAAUACCUAGGAAUCUGCCUAUUAGUGGGGGAUAACGAAUCGAAAGGUUCGCUAAUACCGCAUACGUCCUACGGGAGAAAGGGGGGAGUCUUCGGACCUCUCGCUAAUAGAUGAGCCUAGGCCGGAUUAGCUAGUUGGUAGGGUAAAGGCCUACCAAGGCGACGAUCUGUAGCUGGUCUGAGAGGAUGGCCAGCCACGCUGGAACUGAGACACGGUCCAGACUCCUACGGGAGGCAGCAGUGGGGAAUAUUGGACAAUGGGGGCAACCCUGAUCCAGCCAUGCCGCGUGUGUGAAGAAGGCCUCGGUUGUAAG
rnacentral:rRNA from 1 species